rnacentral:lncRNA from 1 species
AUGUGGACCUUGCCUGUCUCAUUUUUGGAUGGCACUCAACCGAACAGAGCCUUUGUCCAAACAGGAGCUUUUCCUGGGGAGGAAAGCACCUGGAUUGCAUCUCAAGAGGCUGCAUUCAGUUCCUGGCUAUGUCAAGCCUCCCAAGUGGCUUCAGAAGAGGAAGAAGGAACAUCACAAUGUUAUACUCGAAGACACACUAAGAACCAGAUGGCUACAAAGUUAGGGGACAGACUCCUACUGGUGUCAAGGGUCUUGCCCAGGAGCUGCAGCUCAGCAAGAAAUGGCACUCCCAGGCCUUUGCUACCACCUGAGAGACCUUUGCCACCCAGAGGAAGACGGUGCCUGAAGGGGCUUCUCAGAUGCUCCUCAGCAGAGGAGAGGAGACAAUGUGUGGAAAAGGCAGGAUUUUCACAAAGGAAUCGAGACAGAUACCCCAAACUGUGCAAACCUGAAACUGUUUGUGCAACCUACUCCGUAUCUCAGUGA